AAGCGGGGCGCUCCGACGGCAACAAAGGCCAACGGAGAGGGGCGGGGGCACCGGGACCGGAGGCAGCGGCCCCUGGCGGUCACCCGUCGCCGUGCAGCCCGGCGGGAGGGCUUGGGUAGAGGCGCCCGGGAACCGCGCCGCAGCGCCGUGUGCAGGGCGCUUAGACCACAGAUAUGUGAAAGACCCUGCCUACCCUGGAAGAUGUCACAGUCUCAACCGAGGCGCGGCUACAGAGCUCUAUCUGCCGACCCGGGAAGCACCUGCCUCCACUUUCUUAUCUACAGCUCAUUCCCUGUCAGUUUGCUUUUGCUCUCACAAUGUCACUUAAAUGAUUUUUUUGUGUAUCAAAAUCCAAAGAAUAAUUUUCAGUUAUUUAUCCCAAACCUGUAACACUAUGCCUCUUUUUUUUUUAAAGACUUCUACUGGCUUCAGCAUUUCCUGAAGUCCUUUUCAGUUUUCUUCAAAGGCCCCUCUUGCUUUGCUCCAAUUAAGCAUGUGUUCACUGUGGUUCCAAACCUAGGUGUCUUGUUAUUCCAUUCUCCGUUCUCCCCUUGACUGUCUCAUUCAUUCUUACGGCCAACUAUCCUUACAAAUCUAUUUCCAGCCACGUCUCAGAUUCAUACUUCCAAGUGUCUGCUGGACAGCUCCACCUGGAUAUUCUACUAAAAUCAGAUUUAAGGAGUCCAAACCAAACCCUUUAAAAUCUUUCCCCACAAACAUGUACUUGUCCUGUGCUUCCUGUCUCAAUGAAUGGAAUCUUUGCACCAGAAGUGACAAUUUCUGUCUUGCUCCUUUCCCCUAUUAAGCUGUUCAUGAUAUCUUGACAUCUUUAACCUCAUGAACUACUUUCACGUGAUUCCCCUGCCAUUCUGAUGGUUCCUUGUGCUGGUGCAGACCCUUAUCACAUCUUGCUAGAAAUAUCACACCUACUUCCUUGCUAAUCUCACAGUGUCUGGGAGCAUCCACCACCACCACCACCACCCCAACCAUUUGGUUGCACUGAUAGGAUAGUGACAGUAAGAGAUUCAACUUAAACAUCACGUUCUCAUAUACACAUUUGUAUGUAUUCAUUCAUAUGUAUUUUUCGUGGGCACACUGAUGUAUGCCUAUAACCUCAGCUACUUAGGAGGUUGAGGCAGAAGAAUCACAGGUUUGAGAACAGUCUGAGAAAUUUAGCAAAACCCUGUUUCAAAAUAAAAAUUUAAAAAGGACUAGGGAUGUAGCUCAGUGGCAGACUGCUUUUUGAGCAAGUACAAAGCCCUGGGUUCAAUUCCCAGUAUAAAUAAACAAAUAUUGUUGGAUGCUUUCUUCACACCAGAUACUGGAUAUGGGAGCUUAAGAGAUGGAUCACACCCAGUCCUUACCCAUGUGGAGAUUAAUUUCUGACACUUAUUUAGCAUGCCUAACUUCUCUUCAGCAGAGGUUCUCAAAUAGCAACAUUCAGAGUCACCCAGAGGGCAUGUUAAAACACUCAUUGCUGAUAACUGCCUCCAUAGUUUGUAAUUAGUGGACCUUGCAUUAGGCUAAGAAUGUGCAUUUCUAACAGUUUUUCAAAUGAGGUUAAUAUUGGUGAUCUAAGGACUAUACUUUAGAACUACUGAUCCACAGUGUAAAGUAAUGUUUAAGAACAAAGAUUCUAGAGCAAGAUUGUCUUGGUUUCAACCUGACCCUGCCAUUUACUACCUGUAACACUGGGCAGAUUAUUUAACCUCUCUAUAUCUGUUUCCUCUUCUGCAAAAUGGUGGUGAUAAUAGUAUUUACCUCACUGGACUUUCUCAAAGAUCAAGAGUUAAUACAUAAAAGACUGUAGAACAGUGCUUGAAAGAAUGAAAAUAAAGUAUUAACUGCUGUCAUAA